GGAAAGUUGGCUCAGUGGUAGAGCGCUUGCCUCGCAUGCAUGAGGCUCUGGGUUCGAUUCCUUAGCACCA
rnacentral:tRNA from 1 species